rnacentral:rRNA from 1 species
CAAGAGCGUAUGUAAAAGUUGUUGCAGUUAAAAAGCUCGUAGUUGAACCUUGGGUUUGGUUGGCCGGUCCGCUUUUUUGCGAGUACUGGAUUCAACCGAGCCUUUCCUUCUGGCUAACCAGUCGUUUCGGCGGCUGGCGAACCAGGAUUUUUACUUUGAGAAAAUUAGAGUGUUCAAAGCAGGCAUUAGCUUGAAUAUAUUAGCAUGGAAUAAUAGAAUAGGACGUUAUGGUUCUAUUUUGUUGGUUUCUAGGACCAUCGUAAUGAUCAAUAGGGACGGUCGGGGGCAUCAGUAUUCAGUUGUCAGAGGUGAAAUUCUUGGAUUUACUGAAGACUAACUACUGCGAAAGCAUUUGCCAAGGACGUUUUCAUUAA